GGUCAUUUCAACUGGGGCCUUCUGUGCCUCCAGGGACACUGUGUUCCAAUCUCCUACAGAAGGAACUGAAGUUUGUCUGGGUUUGGAACUGGAAGGUGGGGCUGACUGACAGGUUCAGAGUCUGGCUUGCAGACAAGGUACAGAUGGAAAUCUUCCUGGACUCAGGCCAAGAAGAGGAGAAAGGCCCUGUGCCCAUCCUGCUGUGAUUCAGGAGUCUCGCAGAAGACAUCAGAAUGCCUUUCUCUGAGUCACAGUCUGUAUCUUCUAGAAAAGGCUGUCCAUCUUCACCCCAAGCCCACUGGCUCCUGAGAUACGACAUCCAGACCCAGUGCAGCUGGACCUGGCCCAGGAAGAUCAUGCGGUUUCUGGGAAGCACUGGAGAAGGAAAAGGCUGAAGAAAGGAAGACCGGAAAAGAAAUACAAGUCCUUCCGCCUUGGCAAAGAUGAUAGUACCGUUCCCUUCAGUGUUCCGGUUCUGCUCUAUUGGAUAAGUUCCGGUUUGACUAUGACUACGUGAAAAUGUGGAACCAGACCUUCACCCCACAUUCCAGCUCCAGCUCUACCACAGAGGAAGUGCAAUAUCACCUUAGUUAUUCAACACAUUAUGCUCCUCGUGAUACAACCAGAGUUCACAUCAGCAAUCUUGGCAGCUCUCACCACGCUGCUGACUCACGACUCUCUCAUGUCCCAAUUUCCUGUCCAUUGUUCUUUCCUCUACUUGGCCUGAUUUCUAAAGGCCUCUCUUGGUUGCAUUAAGCGGGAUUCCUGAGGGAUUCCCUUGGCAGUUACCUUGGGGGAGCUCUUAGGUUUGGGGCUGAUCCAUGUCCUCUAAAUGUAGGACUUCAAAGCUCCCAAAGAUAGGCAGGCCCAGUGGGAAGCUGGGAAAUGCUCUCUGACCCCUCUGGGAGGGCUGGCAGUCAGAGGGCCUUUUGGAAAGAGUCAGACCUGAUCCAUAAGUCCCUGGAAAACACCCUGCCCAGGGAGCAAAUGCCACUGUGGCCUUGACUGAGGCUUCAGAAGAGUUUGGGAGCUGCAAUUCAUCCACACACGCAUUCAUUUUCAAGUAGUGGUUUGCAGUUCAGGCUUUGGAGCCACAUAAGCCUGGCUUCAAAGCCACUUUCCAGCUUUGUAGGAAGUCUCUACAUUUUUAAACCUCCAUUUUUUUUUCCUGUAAAACUGGGGUCUUCAUGGUACUUAACUUCAUCGUGAUGUUGAGAGAAUGAAAAGAAAAAGGAUAAAUAAAUGGCUUAGCCUCGUGCCUUGGCACAUAUUGUGA
ensembl:lncRNA LINC02777 long intergenic non-protein coding RNA 2777